rnacentral:rRNA from 1 species
AUGGAAGCGGAGAGGGCUUCUGAGAUCAUUCAUAAUCUUGCCUCUAUCCAACCUAUGAAUGACAAUGACAUGAAUAAUUUAGGAAUUAAUGAUCUUGCAAAUAUCUGUAAUAAUCUCUUGCCUAGUGUCAAGGCUGAAGAUGAGGAGGAUGUUGAGAACACAGAUACGGUAGAGCCCCUCUUGAUGGAGGAGGCAGUGUCUGUCAUAGAUAAUUCUAUCGUACCGCAGGGUGUUGAGGAGAAGCCCAAACGACCCUGGAAGCGGAAAAUCUAUCCUACUUCGGCAGUACGCAGAAGUGCUAGAGUGAAACUUAAGAAAAAAUUCCAUGAUGACUUAUGA